CUGGGCAGAGACGUGGAAAACUACUGUCCGAGGGAAACAGACGUGGAGCGAGCAACAGGGAUGAAGCUGUGAUUCCUUAUCUGGAAGACGUCAUCGACUAAAGACGACCGAGUUAUACAGCUUUUGCACUUUGGCCUCAGCGUCCUCUGCUCGAGUCAGCAACUGCAACAGACAACAAAGGAAAGACGACUGGAUUAGGGCUUUUGAAAAACAUUCGCUAACACGUUUCCAUGUUGUGUGUGUAAAAAGUCAGCCCGGAGCAAACCCGGUACAGAGGGGAGUGAAGAGCUUUAAAUAAAGACCCAGCUUUUGGGAAUAAACGAUUUGAAGCAGCGGCGACGUGAUCAGAGUUAAAC
rnacentral:lncRNA from 1 species